AACGCUGGCGGCGUGCCUAACACAUGCAAGUCGAACGGGGUGAUUUCUUCGGAGAUCACUUAGUGGCGAACGGGUGAGUAACGCGUGAGAAACCUGCCUUUCAGUGGGGGACAACAGUUGGAAACGACUGCUAAUACCGCAUAAUGUUAUUUGGGGGCAUCCCUGAAUAACCAAAGCUUUAUGUGCUGAAAGAUGGUCUCGCGUCUGAUUAGCUAGAUGGCGGGGUAACGGCCCACCAUGGCGACGAUCAGUAGCCGGUCUGAGAGGAUGAACGGCCACAUUGGGACUGAGAUACGGCCCAGACUCCUACGGGAGGCAGCAGUGGGGAAUAUUGGGCAAUGGGCGAAAGCCUGACCCAGCAACGCCGCGUGAAGGAAGAAGGCCCUCGGGUUGUAAACUUCUUUUACCAGGGACGAAGAAAGUGACGGUACCUGGAGAAAAGCAACGGCUAACUACGUG
rnacentral:rRNA from 1 species